UACAGAGGGGGCAAGCGUUGUUCGGAAUUACUGGGCGUAAAGGGCGCGUAGGCGGCCUGCUAAGUCGAACGUGAAAUCCCCGGGCUCAACCCGGGAACUGCGUCCGAUACUGGUUGGCUUGAAUCCGGGAGAGGGAUGCGGAAUUCCAGGUGUAGCGGUGAAAUGCGUAGAUAUCUGGAGGAAUACCGGUGGCGAAGGCGGCAUCCUGGACCGGCAUUGACGCUGAGGAGCGAAAGCCAGGGGAGCAAACGGG
rnacentral:rRNA from 1 species